UACGGAGGGAGCUAGCGUUGUUCGGAAUUACUGGGCGUAAAGCGCGCGUAGGCGGCUUUGUAAGUUAGAGGUGAAAGCCCGGGGCUCAACCCCGGAACUGCCUUUAAGACUGCAUCGCUUGAAUCCAGGAGAGGUGAGUGGAAUUCCGAGUGUAGAGGUGAAAUUCGUAGAUAUUCGGAAGAACACCAGUGGCGAAGGCGGCUCACUGGAC
rnacentral:rRNA from 1 species